UCCCUGCUGGUUCAGAGGGUAGAGCGUCUGCCUGCAAUGCAGGAGACCCGGGUUCGAUUCCUGGGUCGGGAA
rnacentral:tRNA from 1 species